CGCGGUUAUACAAUUUUAAAUAUUAAACUUUUUUGGUUAUGUAUUAAAUUAUAUUUAUUCAGUUAAUGGGAUUUUUAUUUGGUGAAAUAUUAAUUUUUUAGAUACUGGUAUAUAUUAUAAUAUAAGAAAGUUAUAUAUAGACUAGGAUUAGAUACCCUAUUAUUUUAACUGUAAAAUGUCAACCUAAUUAGUAUUAGAUACGAUCUUUAAAUUUAAAGAAUUUGGCGGUAAUUUAACUUUUCAGAGGAACCUGUCCUGUAAUUGAUAAUCCACAAUAAAUUUUACUUUUAUUAUGUUUAUAUAUCUCUAUCAUUGAAUGUCUUUUGAAGGAAAUUUUCUAAACGAUUUUUUAAUCAAAAUGUUAGGUCAAGGUUUAAUAAUAUAAAAGUAGAGAUGGGUU
rnacentral:rRNA from 1 species